AAUCAAAAAAGAACGAUCGGAGGAGUACAUGGUGAUAUCUUAACCGUCAAAUAAAAGUGGAGGAAGAUUGUAUUUUAAACAGAACAGUAUGUUAUUGUUUUGUCAGACCCCCUCCACUACCUUCUUUGUUGGUGUGGUCCGUUACGUCAUUCUUUGUUGCCGGAAGCAAAGGCACUGGUAAAUAUAACAAAAUACAAAUGAACCAGUUCGAUCCUUUAAACAGGAAAAUCCUCUUAAUGUGUCCUUGCGAAAAACGAUUUCCACACGUUUCCCCAAUCCCGAUGACAGUUAAUUUGGAGUUCGAUUAUGACUUAUAACCGUUGCAACAUGGGAAUGAUAAGAAGAGGAGAAAAAAGAAAAAAGAAAAGAAGAAUGUACAUCUUACCUCCACUCCGGUAGGUUAGAAAAAUAGCGACUUACUGCAGCUGCUUGACAAAAGUGUCGGCUUCUUUGGGAUCUUCAAAAUAAACAAUCUUCUCUUUAUGAAGAAUACGGAGCCGAUGAGGAUAUGCAAAUCCUCUGAACAUGCCUUUUUCGAGGAAUAAUUUGAUCACCAGGUCAAACUCCUUGCGCUUUCGGCGUACCUCUGCAGACAGAUCCUGGCGAAUGGUGAGUUUAGUAUUACCCUCGUGGAUUGACAUUUUCUUCGCAGAUUGCAGUAUCAUUUCUUUAUCUCUGACUCGUAGAAAGCGGAUCAUAAUUGGUCUUGGAGGCUUCCCUGGCUCGGGAUAUGGUCGUAGAGAGCGGUGAACCCGCUCCAACUCUAGAUUCUGAUCGAGGGAGAGUUUGAGCCAGCAAGACACUAGAGGGCGCCAGAGGAUCGAAUAAUGAAAUCUGAUGCAGAGCUCAGAGGAUCAGUGAGUUCUCUGCACGAUGUGUCUGGCACCAACACAAGAUGACCCAAUCUGGAGAGAAAACUGGACUAAAGUAGGACGGAGCUGAACACACACUGAACAUACACACUGAACACACACUGAACACACA